AGAGUUUGAUCAUGGCUCAGAUUGAACGCUGGCGGAAUGCUUUACACAUGCAAGUCGAACGGCAGCACGGACUUCGGUCUGGUGGCGAGUGGCGAACGGGUGAGUAAUAUAUCGGAACGUAUCCAGUAAUGGGGGAUAACUAAUCGAAAGGUUGGCUAAUACCGCAUACGCCCUACGGGGGAAAGCUAGGGACCUUCGGGCCUGGCGUUAAUGGAGCGGCCGAUAUCUGAUUAGCUAGUUGGUGGGGUAAAGGCCCACCAAGGCGACGAUCAGUAGCUGGUCUGAGAGGACGACCAGCCACACUGGAACUGAGACACGGUCCAGACUCCUACGAGAGGCAGCAGUGGGGAAUUUUGGACAAUGGGCGAAAGCCUGAUCCAGCCAUUCCGCGUGAGUGAAGAAGGCCUUCGGGUUGUAAAGCUCUUUCGCAAGGGAAGAAAGAUUAUCCUCUAACAUAGGAUGAUUAUGACGGUACCUUGAUAAGAAGCACCGGCUAACUACGUGCCAGCAGCCGCGGUAAUACGUAGGGUGCGAGCGUUAAUCGGAAUUACUGGGCGUAAAGCGUGCGCAGGCUGUUUUGUAAGUCAGAUGUGAAAUCCCUGAGCUCAACUUAGGAACUGCGUUUGAAACUACAAGACUAGAAUAUGUCAGAGGGGGGUAGAAUUCCACGUGUAGCAGUGAAAUGCGUAGAGAUGUGGAG
rnacentral:rRNA from 1 species